ACCUAGUCAACAUGAAAUAAGAAAAAUGUUUUGGAGGAAAGAAUCACAAGAAAUCAAGCAAAUAUAGAAUAAGAUGUUCUAAAUGAAACAUUUCAUUCACACAAUUACGGAAGGAUUAUAGUAGAUACAAUAAAAAGCAAGAAACAAAUCCUUUCUGGCCAUGAAGAAUUACAAAACCGAUGUCCUUUUCAAGGAACCUCGGGAACUAGGGACAAGUACUU
rnacentral:lncRNA from 1 species